UACGUAGGCAGCAAGCGUUGUUCGGAAUUACUGGGCGUAAAGAGUGUGUAGGCGGUGCUCUAAGACUGUUGUGAAAUCUCCCGGCUUAACCGGGAGGGUGCGGCGGAAACUGGAGUGCUUGAGGGUGGGAGAGGUAAGCGGAAUUCCUGGUGUAGCGGUGAAAUGCGUAGAUAUCAGGAGGAACACCUGUGGUGUAGACAGCUUACUGGACCACUUCUGACGCUGAGCCGCGAAAGCCAGGGGAGCGAACGGG
rnacentral:rRNA from 1 species